AGUGAACGCUGGCGGUAGGCCUAACACAUGCAAGUCGAACGGCAGCACAGUAAGAGCUUGCUCUUACGGGUGGCGAGUGGCGGACGGGUGAGGAAUACAUCGGAAUCUACUUUUUCGUGGGGGAUAACGUAGGGAAACUUACGCUAAUACCGCAUACGACCUACGGGUGAAAGCAGGGGAUCUUCGGACCUUGCGCGAUUGAAUGAGCCGAUGUCGGAUUAGCUAGUUGGCGGGGUAAAGGCCCACCAAGGCGACGAUCCGUAGCUGGUCUGAGAGGAUGAUCAGCCACACUGGAACUGAGACACGGUCCAGACUCCUACGGGAGGCAGCAGUGGGGAAUAUUGGACAAUGGGCGCAAGCCUAGUCCAGCCAUACCGCGUGGGUGAAGAAGGCCUUCGGGUUGUAAAGCCCUUUUGUUGGGAAAGAAAAGCAGCAGGUUAAUACCCCGCUGUUCUGACGGUACCCAAAGAAUAAACACCGGCUAACUUCGUG
rnacentral:rRNA from 1 species